rnacentral:rRNA from 1 species
AGGAAUACGGGGCAGGCGGAGGUGGAAAGGCGUAGGGGGGACGCGUUGGCCGGAAGUGUUGGGCGUAGAGGGAGCGUAGGCGGCGAGUUAAGGUUGGUCUGAAAGACCGGGGCUCAACCCCGGGAGUGGACUGAAUACUGGAUGGCUAGAGGAUGUCAGAGGAAAGUGGAAUUCCCAGUGUAGCGGUGAAAUGCGUAGAUAUUGGGAGGAACACCAGUGGCGAAAGCGACUUUCUGGGGCAUUCCUGACGCUGAGGCUCGAAAGCUCGGGGAGCAAACAGGAUUAGAUACCCCAGUAGUC